rnacentral:rRNA from 1 species
GCGAAAUUCCUUGUCAGGUAAAUUCUGACCCGCACGAAUGGCGUAACGACUUGGGCGCUGUCUCAACGAGAGAUCCGGUGAAAUUUUAAUACCUGUGAAGAUGCAGGUUACCCGCGACAGGACGGAAAGACCCCGUGGAGCUUUACUGCAGCCUGAUAUUGAAUGUUGGUACAGCUUGUACAGGAUAGGUAGGAGCCUUGGAAACCGGAGCGCCAGCUUCGGUGGAGGCAUCGGUGGGAUACUACCCUGGCUGUAUUGACCUUCUAACCCGCUGCCCUUAUCGGGCAGGGAGACAGUGUCAGGUGGGCAGUUUGACUGGGGCGGUCGCCUCCUAAAGAGUAACGGAGGCGUUCCAAGGUUCCCUCAGAAUGGUUGGAAAUCAUUCGAAGAGUGCAAAGGCAUAAGGGAGCUUGACUGCGAGACCUACAAGUCGAGCAGGGACGAAAGUCGGGCUUAGUGAUCCGGUGGUUCCGCAUGGAAGGGCCAUCGCUCAACGGAUAAAAGCUACCCCGGGGAUAACAGGCUUAUCUCCCCCAAGGGUCCACAUCGACGGGGAGGGUUGGCACCUCGAUGUCGG